GAGGUUGUGGCUCAGUGGUGGGGCGCUUGCCUAGCAUGCGUGAGGCACUGGGUUCGAUCCCCAGCACCACA
rfam:Ictidomys tridecemlineatus contig057325, whole genome shotgun sequence.